CCAACGUGGGGACGAAAGGCCUCCCACUUGCGAGGGGCAGGGCCUCCGUGGGCGGGGCCUCACCGGUGACGUGGAUCUCCUCGUUGGUCGGGGCCCGGAUCUCCAGCUGCAGGCGGCCACGGCGCUCUCGGUGUGGUCCACACCGCACAGCGAGGGCACGCUGCGCACACAGCGCCGGUGCACGUUCAUCUCGCAGCCUGGCGGGACAAGCCUGGGUCGCACUCGAAGCCCGGCGCUGCCCCUGCACCCCAGCCGGUGGCGCAGCACUCACAGGAGCACUUCAUGCCCUGGUGCACCAGGCCGUACAGCAGCGAGCCGCAGUGGUCGCAGAAGGUGGGGCUGCUGUAACUGUGCAGGCGGAACUUGUGCUUGUUCCGGGGGUCCUGGGGGCACAGAGGGGCUCUCAGCGGGGCAGGAGCCUCUGGACCCUGACCAGCCCCGAGCUCCACCUCACCCGGGCCACUGCACACUCCUGCGGCGCCUGGCGGUUUCCAGGUGCUGGAACCUGGAAAGCACGCUAAGGGCGCCUGGCCUUGGGGUUCUUUCUGAGCGGAGGGAGACAAUAUAAACACAGUAAAUACAUAAAAUAUGCGGCAGGGCUGGGGUGAGGCCUGGGCAGAGAGCAGGCUGACAUGCAGGAGGCCCUGGGUUCAGUCCCAGCACCGCAAUAAAGAAAGAGGUGUGUGUGUGUCUGUGUAUGUAUGUGUGUGUGUGGAUAUAUGAUGGGGGUGGAGAAAAAUGAAGUGGAGCUGGGAGGUAACAGAAGCACUCGGGAGGCUGAGGCAGGAGGAUCACCCCGAGGUCGAGGCCAGCUUGAGCUACAGAGUGAGUUCAAGGCCAGCCUGAACUACAUAGCGAGAUCCUGUCUCUAAAAAAGAAAAAAACAAUUGAGAUAGUGAGGGACCCGUAUGUUGUCAGCGUAGCACUUGGGCAGACCACGAAGGGGCGUCAGCACCCCACAGGCUCUACCCUCCCCACACACCACGCACGCCCUCUUCGAGUUCUCUGAAGACGCGCGGGCCACAGCCUGGGCCCUCGGGCAGCCUCUGCCAGCCUUAUGGGGGCUGAGCCCCGUGGGGAACCCUGUUACGAGAGCAUCAGGGGGACUGGGGUGAGCUGCGGGCAUAGCAGGAACAAGCACGAGGCAGCUCCCCUGCUACUCUCCAGCAUCGCAUCGCCGUGGCGAUUACUAGUGCUUUUCCAGACCACCCACACGGCCCUCCUUCAAACAAGAACUAGGCCACUUCCCAGCUGUGAUUUGCAGCAAGUUCUUGGCCCGUUUGGGGAGUCUCAGCGUCCUCUUCUGUCAAAUGGAAACAAACAAUCUACGCCUCAAAGCAAAAGGUAAGUUGCUAGGGUUCAAUCAGUCAGGAACUUAGGACACCCACAGGCCUCUCCUUCCCAGUCUCCACCCCUGGAGCAACAUCGGGUGGCUAAGGAACUUCAACCUUGACUUUUGCUGGGAAUGUACCGGAAGAAUGGUGAGGAGGAGGAUGCAAGACACUAUCGGGUAUUAUUUAUUUGCGCUGGUUCUAUUUUGAAUGUAUUGAUGGGGAGGGAGGGCACUGACAGUUGCUGAUGUUCUGGGUCUCUAAAGGCCGUGGACUGACCCUGACUGAAGUAAGUAGGGUGCCAUCAUCCCCAGUGAAGGCCUCUGCAGGGAGCCUGACCCACAAGCCCUCCAGACAGAAGCUGCUAUUCUCCUCAAAGCCAGAAUUCUUAUUAGAAAGGAGACGCCACUAGGCCUGCAGCUAGGGGCCCAGGGCAAAACCCUUUCUUCGUUGUUUUUUGAGACAGGGUCUCACUUUGUAGUUCACACUGGUUGUGGGACUGUAACCCAGCCUGGCCUUGAACUCACAGUGAUCCUCCUGCCUCAGCCUCCCUAGUGCUGGGAAUGACCAGUGUGCACUACCACAACUGGCCAAUAUCCAAAUCUUGAUGAUGCCUACUACUCAGGUUGGGGCCCUGUCCAAGCCUCGGGUUUCUCUCCCUGAAAAAGAGGGGGCUGUGAGACCUUCGUGAGGAGUCUCCUAAGAAGGAAGCCAAAUAGCACUUCUAAGCCCUCCUGCCUUCUUAUGCGCUUGGACCACGUGACUUCCAAGAUCAAAAGUAUUAAGAAGAAGCAAAAUGGAGAGGAAGGAGCUGGCCAGGCACUUCCGCUUCCUCAAUGAUGACAAUAAUAAUGUUAGCAGCGACAAUGAGUGUCACAGUUCUCACCGUGUCCAGAUCCCAUCCCGAGAAUCUGACUCAUGGGAAUCUCGCAGCGAUCCCAUAGGGGCACGAUUGAUUCUCACCCCCCUUUCACAGAUCAGGAAGUCCAAGAAAUUCAAGGGGUAAGUUAAAUUUGGGGGGCGGGGCAGGAAGGGGUCAGGAGUGUGGCUGGCACUCAAGAGAGACCCCAGCUUGUGCCUCAGGAGCCUCUGCCCAGCUGGGCUCAGGGGAGAACACCAGGCUGCCCCCACAAGCUGUGUCAGACCCUGUGCGACGGCACACUCGAGCUGGUGCUAAGGGCGUGGUGGGCACGCGAGGGGGUGAGGCAGCAUGGGCGGGAGGUGGUGGGCAGCGGCACUGAAUAUAGGCUCUGGGAAACUUCUGUUUUCUUCACCUGACAAACUCACAAAAUGUCUCAGGACUCCUGUGGAUCUCCUCUCUCCCUCUCUCUCUCUCUGUCUUUCCUAAUCACAAAACUCUCCCACUUUGUGUCAAACCCUGGGCAAAAUGCUCAGCCCACCUGAGGUCCCUGACCUGUGCCCGGCCUGGGUUGUCCACACUGGUACCGAUCACCUGCCAUGUCUGAGUUUAAGCCAGUUGAACAAAGCGGGCCUCAGACGAGUGCUCCUCAGUGCAGCAGCCCUUCUGUGGCCCAGCGGUUCGUGGCCACACAGCAUGGCCUCGGGGACAGUUCUGUGGGUCUGCACUAGACCACUGGCCACAUUUUACAGGGGCUCAAAGACGCGGUGAAGAGGAGUGAGGCCCGGGCCCCUGCAGGUGGCUCUCGGCAGCCCCGACUCGCAGAGGGCCGGGUGGCAGACUGCGGAUCUGAGUGUGCAUCUGCGCAUGCAUGCAUGUGCUGGGCACUGCAGGCUCUCCACCCUCCCUCCCGCCUUCUACAUCUCCUGCAUUGGCCUUGCCCCUCGAGGUCCGGUCCUCGUCUCAGUGGCUGUUUCCCUCAGUGCUCUCUGCUCCUGUCAGUCUCUCCCCUGCUCACUCUCCCUCUCUCCCUCUCUCUCUCUCUCUCUCUCUCUCUCUCUCUCUCUCUCUCUGCAUCCCUGUUCCUCUCUCAGGUUCUCUCUUACCUCAGGAUCUCCAUGCCUGUACUGGUUUGUCCUCUCUGGCCCUCGGCCUUCAGUUUCCCUAAAUCUGGCCCCCUGGAUGGCAGCCCACCCUUCCCGUCUUGGUCUCUGGUCUCCUCAGCCCUCCUCUGUCUCCCACCUGUGUCCCCGGCCUGUCCCAGGCCCCUCACGUCCCCUUUUCCAGGCCAAGGGCAAAGAAUCUGGGCCAGACAAGCUCCCCCUAUCUCUCCAGCCCCCCUCCCCUCCCAGCCUUAAAAAUAGCAGGAGAAAUUGGGACGGUCGCCCAGGGGGUGAGGGCGGGUGUGGCCUGAGGAGGAGGCAGGUGUCCGGGCACUCACGUCCGUCUGGGGCCCUUCCCAGCACCUGGACACUCGAAGGUCACGGGUCGUGGCAUCGCCGAUGAACCACAAAGCUGCAGACUGAAGGGAAAAUCACAGAGACACAGAGCCAGAGCGAGGACGCGGGUAAAUCCAGAGAUCCCCACAGAUACAAAGUGGAAAGAGAAAAAGAGGUGACAGCGAGAAAAUGGAGGAGGGGGAUCCGAGCAAACAGAAUACAGCAGAAAGUCAGAGGGGAGACCCCAUGUGCAGGGACAGACAGGGACAGAGACAGGGACAGUGAGAAACCCAAAACACGGACUCGAAGGGGGAGAGGGAUGCGCUUAAUCGCAGAAACACAAAGCCGCGAUCACACACAGGGGCCCAAGGGAGGGAGGGAGGGAGACAGGGAGACAGGGAGACAGACAGACAGGAAGAAGGAAAACAGGAUCCCAUAGACCUGAAGACCCAGGCCGCAGACAGAUGGGAAGACUGAAAACAGACUCUCAGGCACAGCCCUAGCAGAGCAAGGACGGAGCAGGAGUGAGCCUGGGGUGGCUCUGGCCCACCCCACCCUGACUCACUCUGUUCUCAGCAAGUGGCAGCUGGCACUUUAGGACUCGCCCCCUUCCCUGCCCCCCCCGAACCGCCCCCCCAUCACGGUGACCCCCACCGGGCCUGCCCCUGCCUGGGCUGCAUAGUGUUGUCAUGGCUACCGCAGCCUGGGGGGGCUCUGACUUUGCAUCUCCAGCCCCUUCCCCCCCUUCAGCUCCCCCUUUUCCAAAUCUCCCUGUUCCCAUGGCAACAGAUUCUCCAAAUAUCUGUCCCCACCUGGAGCUGGCCGAGGGAGGGGCCCCCAGCACCACCCCCGCGGAUGGCCCCACCAUCCGAGCUCCCUCCCUUCCACAGACUGUCUCUGCCACACCCCCCGCCCCGGGCUCCCCCGCGCCUCCCUGGGGACCUCGAACACGUGUGCCGCCAGCCUCAGCUGUGGGGACCCUGCCUCCACCCUCGGGGGUCCCAGGAGUCCGGGUCCCAGCUCUUACCUUGACACUGCAGGCCCUGUUUUCCAAUACCCCUGGAAGAGUCAUGCACCGAUCAGUGCAGAAGGGGCUGCCGGAACUCCCACCUCUGCCACCUCUGCCGCUCAGGGCUCUGAGGGCUGUGGCCUCCGACCCGCCCUCCACGCAGCCACCUCCUCUUU
ensembl:lncRNA